rnacentral:rRNA from 1 species
GUCACUAGUUGUUGGGGAUUCAUUUCCUUAGUAACGUAGCUAACGCGUGAAGUUGACCGCCUGGGGAGUACGGUCGCAAGAUUAAAACUCAAAGGAAUUGACGGGGACCCGCACAAGCGGUGGAUGAUGUGGAUUAAUUCGAUGCAACGCGAAAAACCUUACCUACCCUUGACAUGUACGGAAGUCUGCUGAGAGGCGGAUGUGCUCGAAAGAGAACCGUAACACAGGUGCUGCAUGGCUGUCGUCAGCUCGUGUCGUGAGAUGUUGGGUUAAGUCCCGCAACGAGCGCAACCCUUGUCCUUAGUUGCUACGCAAGAGCACUCUAAGGAGACUGCCGGUGACAAACCGGAGGAAGGUGGGGAUGACGUCAAGUCCUCAUGGCCCUUAUGGGUAGGGCUUCACACGUCAUACAAUGGUCGGUACAGAGGGCUGCCAAACCGCGAGGUGGAGCUAACCCCAGAAAACCGAUCGUAGUCCGGAUCGCAGUCUGCAACUCGACUGCGUGAAGCUGGAAUCGCUAGUAAUCGCGGAUCAGCAUGUCGCGGUGAAUACGUUCCCGGGUCUUGUACACACCGCCCGUCACACCAUGGGAGUGGGUUUUGCCAGAAGUAGGUAGCCUAACCGUAAGGAGGGCGCUUACCACGGCAGGAUUCAUGACUGGGGUGAAGUCGUA